rnacentral:rRNA from 1 species
UACGUAGGUCCCGAGUGUUGUCCGGAUUUAUUGGGCGUAAAGCGAGCGCAGGUGGUUUAUUAAGUCUGGUGUAAAAGGCAGUGGCUCAACCAUUGUAUGCAUUGGAAACUGGUAGACUUGAGUGCAGGAGAGGAGAGUGGAAUUCCAUGUGUAGCGGUGAAAUGCGUAGAUAUAUGUAGGAACACCGGUGGCGAAAGCGGCUCUCUGGCCUGUAACUGACACUGAGGCUCGAAAGCGUGGGGAGCAAACAGG